rnacentral:rRNA from 1 species
AUGGAAAGCCAACGCGCACCACAUGCCCUCUCCGAUCCCUCUUCAACUUCGGCGCGGGUUGAAGAGCACCAGGCGCCACCCGAUGGAGGCGGAGGUGGCCUCCCCCAAUGCAUCCCUGCCUGGGGGCUUGCUGCGCCGCCGCUGGAUGUCUCUUCUAGUGGAUCUUCGCAUCUUGGUCGACCUCCCUUCCUGGUGCAGUCCAUGCUCCGGGGGGGGGGGCAUCUAGGCAUGAGCACCUCGGGCAUGGCCGGCGCCGGAUUCCGCCACGCAUUGCUGCUGCAGCAUUCUAUACAGUUCAUUUCGUGGGGGUGUCGUGAUGAAGUACGCAUCGUUGCAGCUCGCUUCUAG